AACGUAGGUCACAAGCGUUGUCCGGAAUUACUGGGUGUAAAGGGAGCGCAGGCGGGAAGACAAGUUGGAAGUGAAAUCUAUGGGCUCAACCCAUAAACUGCUUUCAAAACUGUUUUUCUUGAGUAGUGCAGAGGUAGGCGGAAUUCCCGGUGUAGCGGUGGAAUGCGUAGAUAUCGGGAGGAACACCAGUGGCGAAGGCGGCCUACUGGGCACUAACUGACGCUGAGGCUCGAAAGUGUGGGUAGCAAACAGG
rnacentral:rRNA from 1 species